rnacentral:rRNA from 1 species
UUAAGCGACUAAGCGUACACGGUGGAUGCCCUGGCAGUCAGAGGCGAUGAAGGACGUGCUAAUCUGCGAUAAGCGUCGGUGAGAUGAUAUGAACCGUUAUAACCGGCGAUUUCCGAAUGGGGAAACCCAGUGUGUUUCGACACACUAUCAUUAACUGAAUCCAUAGGUUAAUGAGGCGAACCGGGGGAACUGAAACAUCUAAGUACCCCGAGGAAAAGAAAUCAACCGAGAUUCCCCCAGUAGCGGCGAGCGAACGGGGAGGAGCCCAGAGCCUGAAUCAGUGUGUGUGUUAGUGGAAGCGUCUGGAAAGGCGCGCGAUACAGGGUGACAGCCCCGUACACAAAAAUGCACAUAUUGUGAGCUCGAUGAGUAGGGCGGGACACGUGGUAUCCUGUCUGAAUAUGGGGGGACCAUCCUCCAAGGCUAAAUACUCCUGACUGACCGAUAGUGAACCAGUACCGUGAGGGAAAGGCGAAAAGAACCCCGGCGAGGGGAGUGAAAAAGAACCUGAAACCGUGUACGUACAAGCAGUGGGAGCCUCUUAAUGGGGUGACUGCGUACCUUUUGUAUAAUGGGUCAGCGACUUAUAUUCUGUAGCAAGGUUAACCGAAUAGGGGAGCCGAAGGGAAACCGAGUCUUAACUGGGCGUUAAGUUGCAGGGUAUAGACCCGAAACCCGGUGAUCUAGCCAUGGGCAGGUUGAAGGUUGGGUAACACUAACUGGAGGACCGAACCGACUAAUGUUGAAAAAUUAGCGGAUGACUUGUGGCUGGGGGUGAAAGGCCAAUCAAACCGGGAGAUAGCUGGUUCUCCCCGAAAGCUAUUUAGGUAGCGCCUCGUGAAUUCAUCUCCGGGGGUAGAGCACUGUUUCGGCAAGGGGGUCAUCCCGACUUACCAACCCGAUGCAAACUGCGAAUACCGGAGAAUGUUAUCACGGGAGACACACGGCGGGUGCUAACGUCCGUCGUGAAGAGGGAAACAACCCAGACCGCCAGCUAAGGUCCCAAAGUCAUGGUUAAGUGGGAAACGAUGUGGGAAGGCCCAGACAGCCAGGAUGUUGGCUUAGAAGCAGCCAUCAUUUAAAGAAAGCGUAAUAGCUCACUGGUCGAGUCGGCCUGCGCGGAAGAUGUAACGGGGCUAAACCAUGCACCGAAGCUGCGGCAGCGACACUAUGUGUUGUUGGGUAGGGGAGCGUUCUGUAAGCCUGUGAAGGUGUACUGUGAGGUAUGCUGGAGGUAUCAGAAGUGCGAAUGCUGACAUAAGUAACGAUAAAGCGGGUGAAAAGCCCGCUCGCCGGAAGACCAAGGGUUCCUGUCCAACGUUAAUCGGGGCAGGGUGAGUCGACCCCUAAGGCGAGGCCGAAAGGCGUAGUCGAUGGGAAACAGGUUAAUAUUCCUGUACUUGGUGUUACUGCGAAGGGGGGACGGAGAAGGCUAUGUUGGCCGGGCGACGGUUGUCCCGGUUUAAGCGUGUAGGCUGGUUUUCCAGGCAAAUCCGGAAAAUCAAGGCUGAGGCGUGAUGACGAGGCACUACGGUGCUGAAGCGACAAAUGCCCUGCUUCCAGGAAAAGCCUCUAAGCAUCAGGUAACAUCAAAUCGUACCCCAAACCGACACAGGUGGUCAGGUAGAGAAUACCAAGGCGCUUGAGAGAACUCGGGUGAAGGAACUAGGCAAAAUGGUGCCGUAACUUCGGGAGAAGGCACGCUGAUAUGUAGGUGAAGCGACUUGCUCGUGGAGCUGAAAUCAGUCGAAGAUACCAGCUGGCUGCAACUGUUUAUUAAAAACACAGCACUGUGCAAACACGAAAGUGGACGUAUACGGUGUGACGCCUGCCCGGUGCCGGAAGGUUAAUUGAUGGGGUUAGCGGUAACGCGAAGCUCUUGAUCGAAGCCCCGGUAAACGGCGGCCGUAACUAUAACGGUCCUAAGGUAGCGAAAUUCCUUGUCGGGUAAGUUCCGACCUGCACGAAUGGCGUAAUGAUGGCCAGGCUGUCUCCACCCGAGACUCAGUGAAAUUGAACUCGCUGUGAAGAUGCAGUGUACCCGCGGCAAGACGGAAAGACCCCGUGAACCUUUACUAUAGCUUGACACUGAACAUUGAGCCUUGAUGUGUAGGAUAGGUGGGAGGCUUUGAAGUGUGGACGCCAGUCUGCAUGGAGCCGACCUUGAAAUACCACCCUUUAAUGUUUGAUGUUCUAACGUGGGCCCCUUACCGGGGUUGCGGACAGUGUCUGGUGGGUAGUUUGACUGGGGCGGUCUCCUCCUAAAGAGUAACGGAGGAGCACGAAGGUUGGCUAAUCCUGGUCGGACAUCAGGAGGUUAGUGCAAUGGCAUAAGCCAGCUUGACUGCGAGCGUGACGGCGCGAGCAGGUGCGAAAGCAGGUCAUAGUGAUCCGGUGGUUCUGAAUGGAAGGGCCAUCGCUCAACGGAUAAAAGGUACUCCGGGGAUAACAGGCUGAUACCGCCCAAGAGUUCAUAUCGACGGCGGUGUUUGGCACCUCGAUGUCGGCUCAUCACAUCCUGGGGCUGAAGUAGGUCCCAAGGGUAUGGCUGUUCGCCAUUUAAAGUGGUACGCGAGCUGGGUUUAGAACGUCGUGAGACAGUUCGGUCCCUAUCUGCCGUGGGCGCUGGAGAACUGAGGGGGGCUGCUCCUAGUACGAGAGGACCGGAGUGGACGCAUCACUGGUGUUCGGGUUGUCAUGCCAAUGGCACUGCCCGGUAGCUAAAUGCGGAAGAGAUAAGUGCUGAAAGCAUCUAAGCACGAAACUUGCCCCGAGAUGAGUUCUCCCUGACUCCUUGAGAGUCCUGAAGGAACGUUGAAGACGACGACGUUGAUAGGCCGGGUGUGUAAGCGCAGCGAUGCGUUGAGCUAACCGGUACUAAUGAACCGUGAGGCUUAACCUU